rnacentral:rRNA from 1 species
GAUUAACGCUGGCGGCGUGCAUAACACAUGCAAGUCGAACGAUGAAACUUUUUUGAUUUCUUCGGAAUGAUUAAAAGUGGAUUAGUGGCGGACGGGUGAGUAACGCGUGAGUAACCUGCCUUAGAGAAGGGGAUAGCCUUUGUAAACGAAGAAUAAUACCCUAUGAAACCAUAACCUCGCAUGAGGAAUUGGUCAAAGAUUUAUCGCUCUAAGAUGGACUUGCGUCUGAUUAGUUAGUUGGUGGGGUAACGGCCCACCAAGACAGCGAUCAGUAGCCGGCUUGAGAGAGUGUACGGCCACAUUGGGACUGAGACACGGCCCAGACUCCUACGGGAGGCAGCAGUGGGGAAUUUUGCACAAUGGGGGAAACCCUGAUGCAGCGACGCCGCGUGAUUUAGAAGGCCUUCGGGUUGUAAAAAUCUUUUCUAUGGGAAGAAAAUGACAGUACCAUAGGAAUAAGGACCGGCUAAUUACGUG